rnacentral:tRNA from 1 species
GGUGUUGUGGCUCAGUGGUAGAGCGCUCACCUAGCACGUGUCAGGCUCUGGGUUCGAUCCUCAGCACCACAU